GACGGAGGAUGCAAGCGUUAUCCGGAAUUAUUGGGCGUAAAGCGUCCGCAGGUGGCUGUUCAAGUCUGCUGUCAAAGCGCAGAGCUUAACUCUGUACAGGCGGUGGAAACUGAAGAGCUAGAGUAUGGUAGGGGUAGAGGGAAUUCCCGGUGUAGCGGUGAAAUGCGUAGAUAUCGGGAAGAACACCAGUGGCGAAAGCGCUCUACUGGGCCAUAACUGACACUGAGGGACGAAAAGCUAGGGGGAGCGAAAGGG
rnacentral:rRNA from 1 species